rnacentral:rRNA from 1 species
GAAGCGGUGGCUAACCCGCAAGGGAGGCAUCCGUCGAAGGUCAAUCCAAUGACUGGGGCG